UAAAAAGAGAAAACUUCGAGAUCUAAUCCAGAGUACCACGAGACACGUGAAACCUUGUGGGAAGCAGGGAGGACCACCUCCCAAGGCUAAAUACUACCUAGUGACCGAUAGUGAAGCAGUACCGGGAGGGAAAGGUGAAAAGAACCCCGGAAGGGGAGUGAAAUAGAACCUGAAACCGUGUGCCUACAACCGAUCGGAGCACGUUAAAGUGUGACGAUGUGCUUUUUGUAGAACGAGCCAGCGAGUUACGCU
rnacentral:rRNA from 1 species